ACACACACACACACACACACACACACACACACACACACACACACACACACACACACACACACACAAAACCAACCUUAAAAAUGGAGUCUAAGUUCUUCUUUGCUGUAUGUGAUUGCAGUCCUUUAUGUUUUUGACUGUAGUUAAACAAAUAUUGAAUACUUUUGUAAACAUAUAGUAAUGUAUUUAAAACUUAUCAGUAAAUUAAUGAAUAUCAUAAAUAUCAUAUAUAUUUCUCAUACUGUAAACUAAAAAAAAAAAAACACCUCAGAUGAGCAGAUGUGUCUCCCGAGCUGAACUUAAUUGGAGGAUCCAUUGACCGGUCACUCUUCAUGGACACACAGCUGGGUUCAGGAGAUUCAUUCUGCCACAGACUGAAAUAUAACAGCAAUACAAACUGUUUCUGAAAAUCUCACUCUGCUCUGACAGAAACACCUUCACUGUUUCAACCUCCCUUUAAUGUUCAUCUUUCACUUGAGGAGUCUGCUGUGACUUCAGAGUUAAAAGAUUAAAGUAUUAUUUUUCUAUGAAUAAAAGGAAUCUGCCCCAUGUGCUCUUUUCAUUCAUAUAUUAUAGAAUAAAAUGGAGCAAUACACACAUAUAGAUAAAGACACAGAAACAUCCAGCAGCAACAGAGACACCUGGUGACAAUAUCCAUAACACACCACACCUACAGUAUAUAUGACACUCAUAAUAUCUCACCUGGACUCAACAGAAGAGUCUAAAAAUGUGAAACAUUUCAUGUUUUCUCACCUCUUGACUGUCUUUAUCUGUGUGUGAUGUUCUUCAGAGAGAUUCAUUCUGGAGGCCAUGGUUUCAUCUAAAAGCAGAUCCAGAUGUUGAUCACAGAGUCAGUUAUGAAUCAUCUCAGUUAAUUUUCUCAAAUCCACCUCUGUCUCAACAGUCAGUCCACAGCAGUGACCUGCACACACGAAAAACUAUUUCCCAGGUCCUGAAGAGUCUCUUGCUCAUGAAUCCAGUCCUCUGCAGGCCGUGGUCAGUGGUGACCAGUCCAAACGAGUCACUCCUCUCUGAACUUGAGCUGGACAAACGAUUCUCUCUGCAAUCUGCUCAAAAAUAUCAGAUAUCGUCGUAGCAAACGGAACAACCACUAAUGACAGAUAGCACAAAGAUGAAUAAAUGUCCUGCUGUUUCUAAGAUUGAAGUCCGA
ensembl:lncRNA